AGAUAGGACAAAGAAUGAUUACAAGCAAUAGAACUUCCCCAUAAGGAGUCAGAAGAAAAGAUUUCUGCUGAACAGUAAAAGAAGACAGCCCGUCUGCAUCUUAAGGAGCGAUAUAUUAUUUCCAUUUGUGACACGUCAGCUAAGAAAAUUGCUUUCAUCUGGAAGAGACAUCUUGACAUCCUCAGAAUGAAAGCUGUGGUUGGACUCUUUUUUUCAGCGCUCUUCACAACAGGUGCUUGCUUAAAAUGUGAAUUUUGUACAGUGCUCGGCAAGACCUGUAAUGGUGGUGAGACUACAUGCUUAGCCGGAUCAUAUACUUGUGGGGGAAUUUUGACUGAAGUCAAGAUUGGUGGACAGUCCAUUUUUAACUUUGCAAAGGGCUGCAUUCCGACGUCUGAGUGCAAUACAGUAAUGAAAACGGAAUAUAAUGGAGUUGUUGGAACUGCGACAGUUACGUGUGAUAAGGCACCCUCAACAGUGGCAUCACUCAUCCUCUGUCUCUCUGGACUCCUUCUAGUGAAGAUCCUCCUGUAAUAAACUUUUGAAGCAUUUCAGUAAGGAAAUAAUCUGCCUUGCCUUCUCCAUGGAAUCUUCUCUGGAGACUACUCUCUCAAGGCCAUUUACAAGAUACAAUAAUAAAUAAAACCCCUAAUAAAAAAAUAAUCAAUCCAA